AGAAAAUUAGAGAAGAAUGGGUGUUUGUUUGUUAAAUAUUUGGAAAAAUUCAAACAUUUAAAAACCAGAAUUUAAAUCAGUAAAGCCCACAGGUAAAAAGUUGUGUGUGUGUGUGUGUGUGUGUGUGUGUGUGUUUAAUUACCGAUUUAAUAUUCUUUCUA
rnacentral:sRNA from 1 species